CUGCUAGGGGAGCGCAAGCUGAGACUGCAGGGAAAACCUGCGGACCCUCAUUACCUGAUCCGGUUAAUGCCGGCGUAGGGAAGCGAG
rnacentral:ncRNA from 1 species